AACUUUUAAUAUGGCAAUAUUUUAGAACUGUCAAAAUUGUCCCAUUGACGUUUCAUAAUAAAGUCAGUUUGUUAUUUUAUUUCAUUGAUUUUAUAUAAAAUAAUGCCGAAAACAAUCAAAAGUUCGACGAGAAUGCUUCUAUUUACCAUGAUUGACAAAUAUAAAGACGUACAAAGUGAUUUGAAUCAGUAAUUUGCAGAGAAAAUACGACGACUGGAUUCAGUCAUUUCACUUUUAGAUAAUAUUAACGAGGACAACGACUACGAGGAAACAAACUUACAAUUGCGGAAACAGUAAAGAAAUUGAAUUAUCUAUUCCAUCAAAUAAACGUUUUGUAAUAA
rnacentral:lncRNA from 1 species